rnacentral:rRNA from 1 species
AACGAACGCUGGCGGCAUGCCUAACACAUGCAAGUCGAACGAGACCUUCGGGUCUAGUGGCGCACGGGUGCGUAACGCGUGGGAACCUGCCCUUAGGUUCGGAAUAACUCCCUGAAAGGGGUGCUAAUACCGGAUAAUGUCCUCGGACCAAAGAUUUAUCGCCUUUGGAUGGGCCCGCGUUGGAUUAGCUAGUUGGUAGGGUAAAAGCCUACCAAGGCGACGAUCCAUAGCUGGUCUGAGAGGAUGAUCAGCCACACUGGGACUGAGACACGGCCCAGACUCCUACGGGAGGCAGCAGUGGGGAAUAUUGGACAAUGGGCGAAAGCCUGAUCCAGCAAUGCCGCGUGAGUGAUGAAGGCCUUAGGGUUGUAAAGCUCUUUUACCCGGGAUGAUAAUGACAGUACCGGGAGAAUAAGCUCCGGCUAACUCCGUG